AUGAGGAAUGAAGACGGCCAUCUUGUGCCCAAACAAAGACAGAAGUCCACUGAUGAUCUCAUCAGCCAAAUGAGGGGUUUUGACCAAGUGAUGCUCUUGAAUGAAGUGAAAGAAGAGGAUGUGGUAAAUUGUCUUCAGAGAAAAAGCUUCUCUAAAGGUCUUAAAGCAGCUUGAAGAAUGGUCUGGGAUCUUAGGACUGAGAGAUCCUCUGGCUGAGAAAAAGCUACACCACAUCAGUGCUGGAUAUCAACCACAAACUGUUUCCAGACACGAGAGAAGAAGAUCAUGAUGGGGAGAUGAAACUAGUUUAGAUGUGAUGAUAAGGAAUCAUUAUUUUCUGAAACAAUGUCAAAUGUCUUAUAAGUAUCACAUGAUCUCUAUCACAGUUGACUGGAUGGAAUCUUUUUACUUUUAAGGACAUUUCAUCACUCCUCUGUGUGAACUGAUUAAUUUAUGAUAUUAAUGAAUUUUUGAUCCAUUAUUAUUUUCCUUGAAUCGUGUUUGUCUUGAUGCUACUUUAUCAACUUCAU